rnacentral:rRNA from 1 species
UACAGAGGUCCCGAGCGUUGUUCGGAUUUAUUGGGCGUAAAGGGUGCGUAGGCGGCGGAGUAAGUUGGGUGUGAAAUCCCGGGGCUCAACCUCGGAAUUGCAUUCAAUACUGCUUCGCUAGAGUACUGGAGAGGAGGCUGGAAUUUACGGUGUAGCAGUGAAAUGCGUAGAUAUCGUAAGGAAGGCCGGUGGCGAAAGCGAGCCUCUGGACAGUUACUGACGCUGAGGCACGAAGGCCAGGGAGGCAAACGGG